rnacentral:lncRNA from 1 species
AGGGUUUGCUAAGAAAGGCAAAAAGCGUGAACCAAAUCUAAUACCUAUAUAAAGAUAGAGUCAGGCUGCCUACAAUAGCCGCCUCUAGACCUUUCUUCUCUCUUCCUCAUCUCUGCACGCUUCUAUCCUAUUUUCUGCCAUGGUGAUGCCAGCAAAAAGAUCUGAAUAAGGUUCUCAUAUUGUUGGGGCUGCCCAAAGGUACAUCCGUGAUUCUCUUUCGAAUCAAUAUGAUUUUGCAUCGGUCUUAUAUUCCUGCUGUUUAAGGGAUCUGCUAAACCACAAUUUGUAUUCAAAGAAACUUAAAUCUGGGUCUUACCAAAUUGAUAUUCUGCAUGAUGAUCCGGAAGUUGGGUAGAUUUUUCAGUCAAAUCAACUAUUUGGCGUUACUAAGAUAUGUUCGGUCGUGAUUUCUCUGUUUAAAAAAAUUGAUAUGUUGGAUUUUUAAUUUAUGUCUUAUCCCGAUCAUUUAGACCUUUCAUUCUAUAUGAUAAAACAUAAUAUUUUAAUUGUAUAGAAUGUUUGUUUGUGGUCUUAACAAGGACAAACUAAUAGAUGAUACUCGUCGUAUUUUGGCCUUGUGGAUGUUGCAAGAACUUGAAAAUCCAUCGAAGCUGUCCAAAAGUUUUAAUUUUGGUAGUUAGUAAAACAUCUUUGUGGUAGUGCAAGGAUAGAAUGAUAGACAAUCUUUUAAAACUUUUUUUAUUGUAAGGACAAAAUGAUAAAUGAGCGCAAGGACAUAUUGAUAGUUGAUGUAUUUAGGCUUUUACAUAUUGAUAGUUGAUGUAUUUAGACUUUUUAUGUAAUGAUAGACGAAAGCUUUGCGACUAUUCUAUUUACAAAGGAUAGAAUGAUAGACAAUUAAUGCAGUCUUCUUUUUAGUCUCUCUGGAGCAAUUGGAGAUAUCAUAUUUCAUUAUGGGAUUAAAGACAUAAGACUCUGGAGUGAUGAUUGGAUCAGUGGCAAAUAUAUUUAUGAUUACUGAUGUAUAUGUUUCUCAAAAUCAGAUCUGAUGACUCCGAUGGAUAUUAACAAAUUGUACUUGUGUGGUUUAGAUCGGUUAGUAUGAAAGUUUAUUUUUUUUUGAUAAGUUUGUCAAUUGGUCAAUAGAAUAUUGACACACAAAGAACAGGCACGUGUCAGUACUAUAUUGAUCAAAUGACCAACUUACUCAAAAAUAAAUUUCAUGCUAACCACUUCCCUAUUUCAGCAUUCAUUUAUGUUUAAUAUGAUUAGUUGCAAAUGUUUUUUUGGAAGAAUAAACUAAUUUCUCGCCUCUUAAAUCUUUUUUGACAAAAUUUUUCUUGGUAGUUUUAAAAAUAAUACUAUGAAACCUGCCCUAAUUAUUUUAAGGAUUACUUUAGGUCCUCCUGAAUAUAUUUUCAUUCGAGGCCUUAUUUUUUAAUGCAUCACCGUAAUUACAUAACGUUAAUAUUUUCCAAGUAAAUUUAUGCAAUGCAUUCAAAGUAAAGUGAUGGA